AGACCUGAGGAAGUGCCCACAUGGCGUGUCUGCCAUGGGGGAAUGCAGCUUUGCUGUCAUUGUCACUGAGCUGCCAUUUAACUGAAGGUUUACAGCAGCCCCAAAGUGUCUGCUGGCCUCCUCAUGGAAAGUGGAAAAGGCAAGGGCAGGGAAGGGCUCAUCUGAGUGACACUCUGUGCUGCCUGCUCUUCCUCCACUGCUUGACUUGGCAUCUGUCAUGGGUUAUGUAAACAAAUAAGAGGAACAAUCCACGCAGGGCCACUGGCUUUAACAUGCCUUUCCUGUGUCCCAGGGUGUGCGUAAGCAGGGAACACAGUGGGUGAUGACAGGGGUUUGUUCCUGCCUAGAAGGGAGAUUCUUUUCUGGCCUGGAAAGUUCUUUUUUUUUUUUCUUUUGCUUUCUUUUUUUUCUUUUUCUUUUUUUUUUUUUUGAGACAGCGUCUCACUCUGUUGCACAGGCUGGAGUACGGUGGCACGAUCUCGGCUCACUGCAACCUCUGCCUCCUGGGUUCAAGCGAUUCUCCUGCCUCAGCCUCCCGAGUAGCUGGGAUUACAGGUAUGCACCACCAUGCCUGGCUAAUUUUUGCAUUUUUAGUAGAGACAGGGUUUCACUCUGUUGGCCAGGCGGCUGGUCUCGAACUCCUGACCUCAAGUGCUCUGCCCACCUCUGCCUCCCAAAGUGUUGCGAUUACAGAUGUGAGCCACCGCACCCAGCGAAAGUUCUAAGAGCUUCCUUUUAGACUUUCCCCCUUUGCCCUUUGAUACCCCUGUCUUUGUGAUACAGAAGGUGAGCUAAGGCUGCAGGGUGCCAAGGAUCACUAGACACAAGACACCCAGGAGGCCACUAGAGACAAGCCUGGUUCUGAGUAACCUCUGUUCCAAAAUGAUUGGCCUGCACCCAGAGGGAGGGCACCUGGAUGCCAAGAAGUAGUAAUGAAUUGGGGAAAAGAGUGGAAAGACAUGACAUUGAUGGCUUGUUUUCAUAAACACUAGUCUUAAUUGUGAUGACAUACAGAAGAGUGUUAUUAUAAUAUUCAAUGCAUAAAGUUAGCAUGACAAUAACCUCACAUUCUCUAGCAUGACCUCAUGUUCUCUUUCAGUGACUGAUUAUUAUUUUCAUUAUUAUGUUUUGAAGCAAUUCUGCUGAAGGAUGAUCAGUGUGGAUUUUACACAUUUUACAGUAGAGGAAACAAAGCCACCAGGAAAGUUCACUACCCAACGAUUUGAAAUGGUCACUGCAUUUCCCACGGAAAGAGUUCACAUUGUCCAAGGCUUGUAGGACAUUUACUAAGAUGGAAUCCUGUGAAAUUGCCAAUAUUGGGUGAAUUUUUUAUGUAUAAAAAUAGCAGUUUCAUAGCUCCAACAUAAAAUUAUCAACAAAGGAAACUAUCUUUUCUACCUCUUAUAGUGGAAGGUGUUUGGGGUCUUUAUUUUUUAAUUUUAGAAUAGGCAUACUUGGUUCGACCUCCACUGUAGAAUAAAUUUAUUUCCCAAUUCUGGGAAGGAAACCCAGGUUCCCCAAGCUUUGAAGAUUCCUGAUGGUCAGUACUUGCCUUCCCCAGCCGCUCAGGCUGCAGUCCUGAGAAUCCUCACCCUGGAAGCUCAGCCCUGCCUAGUCUUGGAGCAAUUCCUGACCCAGGUGGACAAAUAU
rnacentral:lncRNA from 10 species